rnacentral:rRNA from 1 species
CGGACGGGUGAGUAAUGUCUGGGAAACUGCCUGAUGGAGGGGGAUAACUACUGGAAACGGUAGCUAAUACCGCAUAACGUCGCAAGACCAAAGAGGGGGACCUUCGGGCCUCUUGCCAUCAGAUGUGCCCAGAUGGGAUUAGCUAGUAGGUGGGGUAACGGCUCACCUAGGUGACGAUCCCUAGCUGGUCUGAGAGGAUGACCAGCCACACUGGAACUGAGACACGGCCCAGACUCCUACGGGAGGCAGCAUG